GAUGAACGCUAGCGGCAGGCCUAAUACAUGCAAGUCGAACGGUCCACUUCGGUGGAUAGUGGCGCACGGGUGCGUAACACGUAUGCAACCUACCUUACAUUGGGGGAUAGCCUUUCGAAAGGGAGAUUAAUACCGCAUAAGACAGUAACAUGGCAUCAUGUAGCUGUUAAAGAUUUAUCGAUGUAAGCUGGGCAUGCGUCCAAUUAGUUAGUUGGUGAGGUAAUGGCUCACCAAGACGAUGAUUGGUAGGGGAACUGAGAGGUCAAUCCCCCACACUGGCACUGAGAUACGGGCCAGACUCCUACGGGAGGCAGCAGUAGGGAAUAUUGGGCAAUGGACGCAAGUCUGACCCAGCCAUGCCGCGUGCAGGAAGAAGGCGUUCUGCGUUGUAAACUGCUUUUAUAUAGGAAGAAACGACCCUUGCGAGGGGCAUUGACGGUAUUAUAUGAAUAAGCACCGGCUAACUCCGUGCCAGCAGCCGCCGAAUAC
rnacentral:rRNA from 1 species